rnacentral:rRNA from 1 species
UACGAAGGGGGCUAGCGUUGUUCGGAAUUACUGGGCGUAAAGCGCACGCAGGCGGCUCGAUAAAUUAGAAGUGAAAGCCCCGGGCUUAACCUGGGAAUUGCUUUUAAGACUGUCGGGCUAGAAUCCAGAAGAGGGUAGUGGAAUUCCGAGUGUAGAGGUGAAAUUCGUAGGGAUUGGGAAGAACACCCGUGGCGAAGGCGGCCAACUGGACCGACAUUGACACUGAGGCGCGAAAGCGUGGGGAUCAAACAGG